UACGUAGGGGGCUAGCGUUGUCCGGAAUCAUUGGGCGUAAAGCGCGCGUAGGCGGCCCGAUAAGUCUGCUGUGAAAGUCCAGGGCUCAACCCUGGAGUGCCGGUGGAUACUGUCGGGCUAGAGUUCGGAAGAGGAAAGUGGAAUUCCUGGUGUAGCGGUGAAAUGCGUAGAUAUCAAGAGGAACACCGGCGGCGAAGGCGGGUUGCUGGGCCGACACUGACGCUGAGGAGCGAAAGCCAGGGGAGCGAACGGG
rnacentral:rRNA from 1 species